UGCCAGCAGCCGCGGUAAUACGGAGGGGGUUAGCGUUGUUCGGAAUUACUGGGCGUAAAGCGCGCGUAGGCGGACUAGUCAGUCAGAGGUGAAAUCCCAGGGCUCAACCCUGGAACUGCCUUUGAUACUGGCAAUCUAGAGUUCGAGAGAGGUGAGUGGAAUUCCGAGUGUAGAGGUGAAAUUCGUAGAUAUUCGGAGGAACACCAGUGGCGAAGGCGGCUCACUGGCUCGAUACUGACGCUGAGGUGCGAAAGCGUGGGGAGCAAACAGGAUUAGAUA
rnacentral:rRNA from 1 species